rnacentral:pre_miRNA from 1 species
UUCGGCGGCAGUCCGGCUGCUCCGGCGGAGAAAGGGAUUGUACUCCCGGAGCUGAGCUGCCGGGCUGCCGCCGAGUUC